GCCAGGGUGGUAUAGUGGUUAGUGCAUCUACCUAGUGAGCAGGGGACCUGGGUUAGAAUCCCAGCCUUGGUA